AUGCUGAAUUAGAGAUCGGCACUCAUUUUGUUUAUCAAUCAAUGUAUAUUGGAGUUUUUUAUGUCUCUAAGCACUGAAGCAACAGCGAAAAUUGUCGCUGAUUUUGGUCGUACUGA
rnacentral:ncRNA from 1 species